GGCACAGUGGUGCAGUGGUUAGCGCUGCUGCCUCACAAUGAGGAGGUUCUAGGUUUGAGUCCCGGCUGGCCA